CUUUAGAAAAUUUUUGUACUUGGUUAAUAUAAUAUUUAAAGAAUAAUAUUAUUAACAUUAAAAAUAAAAUUAAAGUUUUUAUUUUAAGAUUGUAUUUUGUCAAUAUGUUAACUAAAAAUAUGUUGAAACCACAAAAUAAUAUUAGUUCCCAGCCUCUCAAUGCCACCAGUGGUAUACAAUAUAUAUUGCACAUAGGAUAAAACGCACUUUGGCUAUCUUUUUGAUUUAUAAAUUAGGUUUGUUAUGUCAUUAGAAAUUUUAAGUAAUGUGGUUUGAUUUUUUCAGCUGAGUAUUCUGUAAUGUAUUUAUUUGUCAGGUACAAAUUCAAUUGGAAAGAAAUUAAUUACAGUUAUUUUGCUGCUUUCAAAAUGACGAUGAUUUUCUUUGGAACCCUUUUUUCGGUCUCCGUUUUAAGCCACCGAUUUAAGAUAAAUGACGCAAUUAUUGGUGUAAUAGCUUGUUUAUUUGAUAUUAUUGUAGCAAUGAGUUAUUGUUUUGCUAAUGAACCUUGGCAAAUGUAUAUAAUUCCAAUUAUCGAUAUGUUUCAUGGUACAGCUCUUAAUAUUACUACAUCACUUACUUCAAAAAUGGUUAAAAGAGAAGAGUUUGGUAUGAAGUAA